rnacentral:rRNA from 1 species
GAAUCUGGGAGGACCAUCUCCUAAGGCUAAAUACUCUCUAGUGACCGAUAGUGAACCAGUACCGUGAGGGAAAGGUGAAAAGCACCCCGGAAGGGGAGCGAAAUAGAACCUGAAACCGUGUGCUUACAAGUAGUCAGAGCCCGUUAAUGGGUGAUGGCGUGCCUUUUGUAGAAUGAACCGGCGAGUUACGAUUUGAUGCAAGGUUAAGCAGUAAAUGUGGAGCCGUAGCGAAAGCGAGUCUGAAUAGGGCGUUUAGUAUUUGGUCGUAGACCCGAAACCAGGUGAUCUACCCUUGGUCAGGUUGAAGUUCAGGUAACACUGAAUGGAGGACCGAACCGACUUACGUUGAAAAGUGAGCGGAUGAACUGAGGGUAGCGGAGAAAUUCCAAUCGAACCUGGAGAUAGCUGGUUCUCUCCGAAAUAGCUUUAGGGCUAGCCUCAAGUGAUGAUUAUUGGAGGUAGAGCACUGUUUGGACGAGGGGCCCCUCUCGGGUUACCGAAUUCAGACAAACUCCGAAUGCCAAUUAAUUUAACUUGGGAGUCAGAACAUGGGUGAUAAGGUCCGUGUUCGAAAGGGAAACAGCCCAGACCACCAGCUAAGGUCCCAAAAUAUAUGUUAAGUGGAAAAGGAUGUGGCGUUGCCCAGACAACUAGGAUGUUGGCUUAGAAGCAGCCAUCAUUUAAAGAGUGCGUAAUAGCUCACUAGUCGAGUGACACUGCGCCGAAAAUGUACCGGGGCUAAACAUAUUACCGAAGCUGUGGAUUGUCCUUUGGACAAUGGUAGGAGAGCGUUCUAAGGGCGUUGAAGCAUGAUCGUAAGGACAUGUGGAGCGCUUAGAAGUGAGAAUGCCGGUGUGAGUAGCGAAAGACGGGUGAGAAUCCCGUCCACCGAUUGACUAAGGUUUCCAGAGGAAGGCUCGUCCGCUCUGGGUUAGUCGGGUCCUAAGCUGAGGCCGACAGGCGUAGGCGAUGGAUAACAGGUUGAUAUUCCUGUACCACCUAUAAUCGUUUUAAUCGAUGGGGGGACGCAGUAGGAUAGGCGAAGCGUGCGAUUGGAUUGCACGUCUAAGCAGUAAGGCUGAGUAUUAGGCAAAUCCGGUACUCGUUAAGGCUGAGCUGUGAUGGGGAGAAGACAUUGUGUCUUCGAGUCGUUGAUUUCACACUGCCGAGAAAAGCCUCUAGAUAGAAAAUAGGUGCCCGUACCGCAAACCGACACAGGUAGUCAAGAUGAGAAUUCUAAGGUGAGCGAGCGAACUCUCGUUAAGGAACUCGGCAAAAUGACCCCGUAACUUCGGGAGAAGGGGUGCUCUUUAGGGUUAACGCCCAGAAGAGCCGCAGUGAAUAGGCCCAAGCGACUGUUUAUCAAAAACACAGGUCUCUGCUAAACCGUAAGGUGAUGUAUAGGGGCUGACGCCUGCCCGGUGCUGGAAGGUUAAGAGGAGUGGUUAGCUUCUGCGAAGCUACGAAUCGAAGCCCCAGUAAACGGCGGCCGUAACUAUAACGGUCCUAAGGUAGCGAAAUUCCUUGUCGGGUAAGUUCCGACCCGCACGAAAGGCGUAACGAUUUGGGCACUGUCUCAACGAGAGACUCGGUGAAAUCAUAGUACCUGUGAAGAUGCAGGUUACCCGCGACAGGACGGAAAGACCCCGUGGAGCUUUACUGUAGCCUGAUAUUGAAAUUCGGCACAGCUUGUACAGGAUAGGUAGGAGCCUUUGAAACGUGAGCGCUAGCUUACGUGGAGGCGCUGGUGGGAUACUACCCUAGCUGUGUUGGCUUUCUAACCCGCACCACUUAUCGUGGUGGGAGACAGUGUCAGGCGGGCAGUUUGACUGGGGCGGUCGCCUCCUAAAAGGUAACGGAGGCGCUCAAAGGUUCCCUCAGAAUGGUUGGAAAUCAUUCAUAGAGUGUAAAGGCAUAAGGGAGCUUGACUGCGAGACCUACAAGUCGAGCAGGGUCGAAAGACGGACUUAGUGAUCCGGUGGUUCCGCAUGGAAGGGCCAUCGCUCAACGGAUAAAAGCUACCCCGGGGAUAACAGGCUUAUCUCCCCCAAGAGUUCACAUCGACGGGGAGGUUUGGCACCUCGAUGUCGGCUCAUCGCAUCCUGGGGCUGUAGUCGGUCCCAAGGGUUGGGCUGUUCGCCCAUUAAAGCGGUACGCGAGCUGGGUUCAGAACGUCGUGAGACAGUUCGGUCCCUAUCCGUCGUGGGCGUAGGAAAUUUGAGAGGAGCUGUCCUUAGUACGAGAGGACCGGGAUGGACAUACCUCUGGUGUACCAGUUGUCGUGCCAACGGCAUAGCUGGGUAGCUAUGUGUGGACGGGAUAAGUGCUGAAAGCAUCUAAGCAUGAAGCCCCCCUCAAGAUGAGAUUUCCCAACUUCGGUUAUAAGAUCCCUCAAAGAUGAUGAGGUUAAUAGGUUCGAGGUGGAAGCAUGGUGACAUGUGGAGCUGACGAAUACUAAUCGAUCGAAGACUUAAUCAA